rnacentral:rRNA from 1 species
GUGAGGAAUAUUGGACAAUGGGCGCAAGCCUGAUCCAGCCAUGCCGCGUGCAGGAAGACGCAUCUAUGGUGUGUAAACUGCUUUUGUACGGGAAGAAACACUCCCUCGUGAGGGAGCUUGACGGUACCGUAAGAAUAAGGAUCGGCUAACUCCGUGCCAGCCGCCGCGGUAAUACGGAGGAUCCAAGCGUUAUCCGGAAUCAUUGGGUUUAAAGGGUCCGUAGGCGGUUUAAUAAGUCCGUGGUGAAAGCCCAUCGCUCAACGAUGGAACGGCCAUUGAUACUGGUAGACUUGAAUUACAAGGAAGUAACUAGAAUAUGUAGUGUAGCGGUGAAAUGCUUAGAUAUUACAUGGAAUACCAAUUGCGAAGGCAGGUUACUACUUGUGGAUUGACGCUGAUGGACGAAAGCGUGGGGAGCGAACAGGAUUAGAUACCCUGGUAGUCC